ensembl:miRNA
AAAAGUUCAUUCAGGUUUUUCCAUAAGAUGUUACAGAAAAACCAGAAUGAAACUUUUGA